AUGUGUUUAUCUCAUUUAAUAUUAGUAUAAUACAAUUAUAUCUCAUUGCUACAAAGCUGUUAAUUGCAAAUAGACUGAUUUCAUUAAGGUUAUUAAUAUAUAAAGACACCUAUACAACUCAAAACUAUUCAUUUCCUACUCGUGAAGUACCCGUAGAGUCAAUUUUCUGCUUCGAUUACUUGUAAACCAUGGAUGGAGGACGUUUAUUUGAUCCAAACAAACCGAAGCCAACUAAAGAGGAUGCAUAUGCAUAUGUUAGGGCUGUGAGGGAUCAUUUUCAUAAUGAUAGAAAAAAAUAUGAAGACUUUCUUGCGAUCAUGAAAGAUUUUAAAACUCGGAAAAUUAGUAGGAAUGAUUGCAUAAGAGCGGUGCUGGAAUUGCUUAACGGAGACCGAGACUUGAUUUCUGGUUUCAAUGCAUUUUUACCAUUUUGGAUGGAGAUCAUGGAGAUCAACUAAUUAUUACUUUUGGGCAUGAGAGGGGAGGUGAUGUUUUGGGAUUUGGUUUAGAUUUGUUUUAAAUCGAAGAAUUUAUUUGUGGUUAUUAUUAUUAUUAUUAUUAUUAUUAUUAUUAUUAUUAUUAUUAUUAUUAUUAUUAUUAUUAUUACUAGGACUCCGGACCCCCGCGAUGUCGCGGGGGAAAAUAUUUCAAAAAUCUUUAAAAAAAUAUCAAACAAAAAUUAAUAAUAACGAUGGUAGAUGAUUAAAUGUUAUAACGAUUUAUAAAAUAAACUUAAAGUUUCAA